UACGAAGGGAGCUAGCGUUGUUCGGAAUCACUGGGCGUAAAGCGCACGUAGGCGGAUGUGUCAGUCAGGGGUGAAAUCCCGGAGCUCAACUUCGGAACUGCCUCUGAUACAGCACGUCUUGAGUCCGAGAGAGGUGGGUGGAAUUCCUAGUGUAGAGGUGAAAUUCGUAGAUAUUAGGAAGAACACCGGUGGCGAAGGCGGCCCACUGGCUCGGUACUGAGGCUGAGGUGCGAAAGCGUGGGGAGCAAAAAGG
rnacentral:rRNA from 1 species